rnacentral:rRNA from 1 species
UACGAAGGGGGCUAGCGUUGUUCGGAAUUACUGGGCGUAAAGCGCGUGCAGGCGGUCUUCCAAGUCAGUGGUGAAAGCCCGGAGCUCAACUCCGGAACUGCCAUUGAAACUGUGAGACUUGAGUACGAGAGAGGUGAGUGGAAUUCCCAGUGUAGAGGUGAAAUUCGUAGAUAUUGGGAAGAACACCGGUGGCGAAGGCGGCUCACUGGCUCGUAACUGACGCUCAGGCGCGACAGCGUGGGGAUCAAACAGG